GAAGAUGACAGGGGAAGCUCUAACCUGUCAGGUGAUGGGUGCAGGCAUUUGGAAACUCAGGAAAGCUUGGUCCCCCAACCCUCACCUUCCUCACUCUUCCUCUCUCUAUUCCUCUUAGGAGUUCAGGGAACAUAAUGAUGUGGACUCUUAAGUUCCCGGGUUUGACAUGACUCAGGCCAGCGAUGGACCACCCAGGGUUUCCAAGAAAGUACUCAAGUGGACUCUAAGCCCUUGCAGUUUGACUUGACUCAGGCUGGAAAUUUGCCACCCAGGCCGCACCACGCUGCUGGAUUUCACCAGGUCCAAGCAUCAAACCAGGAGCUCACUCAGAGUUGAAAGUGCCAAUGAAAAUCAAAGGAACUGCACUACUUGCCCCUACCAGGUACUGGAUGACACCUGCUGUGGCCCCAGGAGG